rnacentral:rRNA from 1 species
UGCGACCCCAGGUCAGGCGGGACUACCCGCUGAGUUUAAGCAUAUCAAUAAGCGGAGGAAAAGAAACUUACCAGGAUUC